UGAGUCUGCGCCCGGACCGCGAGUGUGCCUCUGAGUCUGCGGCGCUGAGCCAGCGGUCUGAUUUGAGGGGUAACAACAAUGAGACGGGAGGCUGCCGGUUUAAUGAGCGCUGACUUCAGAGAAACAGAAAUAGUGGAUAAGACGUGGACCGAGUCCAGGAGGGGCCUCCUGCAAAGUCUGCAAAAGGACGUGCAGCUUUUCGGUGCAAUCCGCGCUCUCGGGUCUCAUGAAAGGAAAGAAGCAUCAAAAUCUGAUGAGAAGACUUCAGAGUCCAGGUCCUGCAGUGGUGGAUUUUGUUUUCCAGCAGAUGAGCAGUAUAUUGAUCAGCGCAUCCACACUUUGUUUUUAUUUUACUGUGAAAAAAGGUCACUGAGCUGAUUAACUGCCUGCUUUAAGAAAAAUGUUAUUAUUUUUCACAUUUUUAUUAAAUCAUUUAUUGAAAGUGAAGCUUUUGUCAAGUUAUUCUGUCUGCUGACAGACAGAAAUCCUUCCAAACAGAAAACUUUUUUAAUGUUAAUUUCUUAUUGUAAAUUUUUUCUUGUGCUUCUACAAACUUAAUUUUGGUUGUUUUAAGCAUAAUGCUGUCUCUGUUAAUCUCAUGAAGAAGUAAAACAAUAAUUUGAGUGUAUAUUCAUUUGUAUUAAUAUGUCAUUACUAUAGCUGUGAGGUGCUGGAAAAGCUUUAAAAUGGAUCUUGAAAGUGAUUCAAAAGUGCUUGAAUUUGUCCCAGGAAAAGGUGUAUGAACCUGCAUUUUCGUAACUAAUAUGUCUAAAACACCACAAGGGAUUUCAUUCAAAUUUUGCAAAAAAACGCGUACUAAAAGUUAAAUAAAUUUGAGAGCUGUUGUUCAGAUCUGCAGCCAUGAAAACAAGAAUAUUAAACUGAAGUGAUUUAUUCGCAGGGUCGGCCUCCGGUGGAUCUGUCCUCAGUGUCUUCUGUGUCCCAGCUGGAGUCUCUGGGUCUGGACGUUCUGAAGGAGGAACUGACGUCUCGAGGUCUGAAGUGCGGGGGAACCCUGACAGAACGUGCCGCCCGGCUCUUCUCCAUCAGAGGACUGACUCCAGAUCAGAUUGACCCGGCGCUGCUCGCCAAAUCGGCCAAGACAAAGAGGAAGUGAUGAGGUCAGAGGUCACCGCUGAGGCGGAUAAAAAGACCUCACUUUGAAAUUAAAUGAGCAGUCCGGCUUUUUUUAACUCGACAGUCAAGUGUCUACUUUUGUGCUUUUCGCAGAACUGAGGAAGAUGUUAAAACUAAUUUACGGUGUUUUGUCAUUGGAGCUUCACACUGCUGACAGAUGAUUUAUUAAUGUUUUUUCAGACUGUUUAUCAAGAAUUUUGUCAUCACUCACUCAUUUGUGGAUUUUGUCCAAUCAGAAAGCAUUUUUUUCUCAUUUUAUUUUCUUCUUUUUUGUCUCUUAUCAGUUUAAUGAGGGUCGGCUUUGACUCAGUCUCAUUGGCCUGUCAAUCGACUUCAAGUGUCUUUAUUCAUGACGAUUAAUGUGAAAUAAAAUGUUUCUAAAACAAAA